UACGGAGGGUGCAAGGCGUUAUCCGGAUUCACUGGGUUUAAAGGGUGCGUAGGUGGGCUAGUAAGUCAGUGGUGAAAUCUCCGGGCUUAACCCGGAAACUGCCAUUGAUACUAUUAGUCUUGAAUGUUGUGGAGGUAAGCGGAAUAUGUCAUGUAGCGGUGAAAUGCUUAGAUAUGACAUAGAACACCGAUAGCGUAGGCAGCUUACUACACAAAUAUUGACACUGAGGCACGAAAGCGUGGGGAUCAAACAGG
rnacentral:rRNA from 1 species